UACGUAGGCAGCGAGCGUUGUUCGGAGUUACUGGGCGUAAAGGGUGUGUAGGCGGUUGUUUAAGUUUGGUGUGAAAUCUCCCGGCUCAACGUGGGAGGGUGCGCCGGAUACGUGAGGGCUCGAGUGCGGGAAGGGAAAGUGGAAUUCCUGGUGUAGCGGUGAAAUGCGUAGAUAUCAGGAGGAACACCGGUGGUGCAAACGGCUUUCUGGACCGUAACUGACGCUGAGACACGAAAGCGUGGGGGAGCAAACAGG
rnacentral:rRNA from 1 species